CGACUAUAUAUGCCCGUGUGUAUAAAUGC
rnacentral:piRNA from 1 species